UACGUAGGAGACGAGCGUUGUCCGGAGUUACUGGGCGUAAAGGGUGCGCAGGUGGUCGCGCGCGUGGGGGGUGAAAUCGCCCGGCUUAACUGGGCGGGGGCCUUCCAGACGGCGUGACUUGAGGCGCGGAGGGGGGCGUGGAAUUCCGGGUGGAGCGGUGAAAUGCGUAGAGAUCCGGAGGAACACCGACGGCGCAGGCAGCGCCCUGGCCGCGAAGAGCCGCGAGGCUUUGAACCUGACACUGAGGCACGAAAGCUGGGGGAGCAAACAGG
rnacentral:rRNA from 1 species